rnacentral:rRNA from 1 species
AUUGAACGCUGGCGGCAGGCCUAACACAUGCAAGUCGAGCGGAUGAAGGGAGCUUGCUCCUGGAUUCAGCGGCGGACGGGUGAGUAAUGCCUAGGAAUCUGCCUGGUAGUGGGGGAUAACGUCCGGAAACGGGCGCUAAUACCGCAUACGUCCUGAGGGAGAAAGUGGGGGAUCUUCGGACCUCACGCUAUCAGAUGAGCCUAGGUCGGAUUAGCUAGUUGGUGGGGUAAAGGCCUACCAAGGCGACGAUCCGUAACUGGUCUGAGAGGAUGAUCAGUCACACUGGAACUGAGACACGGUCCAGACUCCUACGGGAGGCAGCAGUGGGGAAUAUUGGACAAAGGGCGAAAGCCUGAUCCAGCCAUGCCGCGUGUGUGAAGAAGGUCUUCGGAUUGUAAAGCACUUUAUGUUGGGAGGAAGGGCAGUAAGUUAAUACCUUGCUGUUUUGACGUUACCAACAGAAUAAGCACCGGCUAACUUCGUG